AACCCCUGGCCCUGUGCGUCUCUGCUCCUGUCUCCACGCCAUAGACUUCCUGCAGGUCUAUCCCCAGAAGCCACAGUGUUGAGAUUCCUCGUCUACACUCCCUCUGAUUUCUCUUUAAGAAAGAGAGCAGGUAUCUGUAACACUUGCUGGGGCAGGAAGACCAUGGAGCCUUGAGGAGAAGAAAACCAAGGCAACCAAAGCAAAAAAAGUUGGCUCUGUUUUCAGAGAAGCCUGAGAAUAAAAGUGUGACUGUAAAGCAAACAAACAAACCAAAGCUGGAAGCCGCAGUCCCACACUCGGCUGGAAUGGAGGUAUGUGCGUGUGAUCACUGAGCGGCUAAGUUGGAAGAUUACUCAAAUAUUUUCCAGCAUUUUAGAGAUUCUGCUGAGGAUUUGCUUUGUGAGUGAUGUGGGAAAUUCUUUUCUUGCCUAGGUUUCCAGUCAACAAAGACAGAGGCAGAAUUAGCGUGGCUCUUGUGUAACAGGGGAGCAGUAAGCCUUGCAGCCUGCCUGGCUCUCUGGUCGCAGUGAAGCUCUCAGAGCAGCCAGAGGCAGGGCAAACCUCGGGGACUGAGGCAGAUUAUCAUGAAAAUGAGAAUGAAUAGGGUGUGUCACUGUCACGACUGGUGUGCUCAGCUGCCAUGGUCACACAGUGCCAGAGACAGACUCCUUAGCCACUAGAGAAAAUGGAGUGAAAUUGGGCCUAAGAGAUGAUUUAGCUGUUAACAGGACACAUGGCUCUUACAAAGGACAGGACUUCCCUUCUCUGCACCCACUGUUACUACUCACAACCUCCUGGAACUCCAGCUCCAAGAGAUCUGAUGUACUUUUCUGGAUUUCUUGGGUACCUGCAUUUACACACACACACACACAAUCACACAUUCACACAUACACACAAACUCUCUCACAGACAUUCACACAUGACACACACAGAAACACACACCCUCACAGAAACACAGAAAGACAAAGACAUACAACUCACACAUACCCACCAACAGACACACAUGCACUCAUAUGUACAAACACACACACAAACAUACUCACACAUACUCACAUACACACAUACACAGACACUCACACA
rnacentral:lncRNA from 1 species